GGGGUGAAAGGGCAUGGCAAGACCCCCUGUUGACACUUCUUAACGCAACCACCGGAUAUCGGCGACGGCGCCAGAAGUGCCCUGGUAGGGUAACUCUAUUUACUAUUGGAUAAUUCCGCAAGCGCACAGAAUGUACCGCUGUACCACUUCACCAAGGAGUAUUCCAAGGUAUCGUAAUUUAUAUUUUCCCAAGGGAAAGCGGCUAAGUGUGUUUAACAAAAAGGGGAAUGAGAUUCCUUGAGUUGUCUAGUAUCAACUAGUGAAUAAGGGUGGUAAAUAACGAAUAGGAAGGGUAGUGGUGAAUCCAAGGUCCUAUGCUAAAGGUAAAUGGUAGAGUUAGCUAGGUGGGAGGACAACGAGUGAGUAAAGGACUCCUAUAUAUCUAACUUGACUUCUGUGACUUACUUUAAUAGAUAAUUGCCUUAACUACGCUAGAGCCUUACUAACUGUGUGCGAGGGAUAGCCGAGCUGGUAAGACGCUUAGAAGGUUUUUCACCUAACCCCUUACCGAAAGCGACUAUUGGGCUUAUGGACGCCUUACCUUUUAAGAACUAGCCUGUACGUGAGGAGAACCUAAUGCCGUCCACGAUCUGUCACCUACUAGGGAGUGCGCUCCUACUUUCCGUUCAAGCCCGCGGUAAUCAAAGGUAAUCUUAAGUAUGAGCACCACGCUCACACUUAAUCCUACAACUCUAACUAGUUGCAGCUAGCUAGAGCUCCUAUACAAGAUAGGACGAUGAUGCACACACAGGAGUGGUUACAGGUCACUAACUUCACUAAGACAACUAUAUUACUAAAGUAAAUGCACAACAAGACUAAAAGACUUGCACUAAGUAAGAACUCAGUAAAGUAAAGUAAGAAUAAUAUAUUAAUAAAAGGAAAGUCUUACAAAAGUAGAAAGGUACAAGAGCUAUACCAGACUCUCCAGAAGACGACUCCGGAGACCCCGAGCUUCGCUCGACUCGACUCUAACUCCCACUCUAGACUAACUACUACUCUACUUGUAUGCUUGGAACUUGUAAUGCACUUGGCCUUGGAAUUGCACACUUGAAAUGAAGGAUGGAGGCUGCCUUUUAUAGAGGGAGAUGGAGUAGGGGUUACUCCAUUGCCACGUCAUCGAUCCGCGUGACAUCUUCUCUCCACCCUUGGAUCAAACCGACCUCACAACUGCCAUUUGAUCAACGGCAGGGGCAAAUCAACAUGUGGGACAUGUGGGGAAGGUCGGUGGGAGGCCACCGACCCUGGAACCGCCUUUGAUGUGGGGUCGGGCGACCCCACUUCUGGGCCUCUGGGCCCACCAGCAGUGUCCACAGGGGUCCCUUAUGUCGGUGGACUAGGUGGCACACCUGGGUCCCACCAAAGAGGGGUCGGGCGACCCCCUCCCUGUGGGCCCAGGGUGUCACCUGUUGUCCCCUCGAUCUCCUCUUGAUGAUUCUGAUGUUGGCUUUGUCAAAUAAUGUCUUGAAUUUGUUGUUCCUGCAUAAACAAGCUAAGAGUACAAGUGGAACUAGUUAUGGAUAAAAUAUGUUCAUGUCAUGUCAUUUCCCCUUGCAACCGAGGCAUGUUGACGGUGUUUUGUAUGUGGAUUUCUAUGGUAUAUCCACCGUCAACAAGAUCCCCCAAGCUUAACCUUUGCUCGUCCCGAGCAAACAAUCAAACUUAGCCUCGGUGGAUCAGGUAUUGUUACUAUGUUCACAUUUCAAGAGUACCAUGUGUACAACAAAGUUCUUCUCUUUGCAUGAAAAAUUUAGCUAUGUAAACUUACCCCUAUUACCUUAGUCCCUUAUGGGGCUUAUGGCUUUUCCUUUGUCUUAGGUGGUUGAGAGACAGAACAGUUUGACUUGAGCACUAACUUUCUCAUUCUUAGCAAGUUUCAUAUCAGAGGUUUUGUGAUAUUUUCAAAAGAAAGCUUAAAUGUUCCUCUUAUGGUUCUCUCAUGUCACUCAAAUGGUGUAUGAUUCCUCACCAAGGCAUAUGGUAAGAGUUGCCUUCUCUAUUUCAUCCUAUUUCUAAAAGGCUUAUGUGGAGUUCAAGGUAGGGAUGAAAGGAGAUAGCAUACUUACUUUGCAUAUAUUGCGAAGUCAAAGCUCGGAUCCUUGAAGAGAAGUGUCAUACUCCCAGAUCAAGAUGUGCAAGUGUGAUAUAUGGUGGACUAGGUUGCUCCUUUAUUUGAUAGACUCUCUAUGUAUUGAGACAUGGCUAGCAUUUUUUUCUUCUUUUUUUUUUAUAUAUGAGCUUUCAUGUGCUCAAUUUUCUUUUUCUGUGGACUUGCACAUGUCCAUCUUUUUAUUUCAUUUUGCCUAGCCUUUUGAUGUCUCAUUUACCAAAUAAUGCUUAGAGAGAUGUUCUAACAUUUAGAGUAUGGAGCAACCUAUUUAGUGGAUGCGAAAUACAUGUGGUUGCGUACUUCCAGUGUAGAAGCAGCAUAUAUAUAUGUGGUGUGUACGUGAUCUUGAUCUUAGGAGCAUGAAAAGUCUCUUAACAAGGGUCAACAAGACUUGACGACACUCAACCCAAAGCAAAUAGCUUAUGUGGAAAGGUUGCAAUUAUGUAAAGUAGAUAUGGCUGUGGUAGGAAUUCAUCACCAUUGAGGAACAAUUAAGGUUUUGAUCAUUUUAAGAAUAAAUCUCUGAUAAUCAUGCAUGCUUAGAAAAAUAUUAUAGUAGCUCUUGUCUUACUAUCUCAUGUCCCACAACAACUUAGACUUAGUUCUAGCACUUGCAACCCACAAAGUUUUUAGGUUCAUGGCAGUUUAAGUGAGCUAAGUGAUCCAUACUUAGAGAAAUACUAAGUUGUAUACUAGGUACUAGAGAAACAUUAACAAGCAACUAGUCAUCAUUUCCAUGAGGGAUAUAAACAUACAUGAAGCAUAUAUGCUAAAGGGAAAUGCUAAUAAAUAUUUAUUUAUUUAUUUAUUUUUAAGUAAGAAUGAUAAAAUGCAUGAAAAUAAAUAGGAUAGAAUACUUACCUUAGUGGGGGAGAGGAUCUCCCCCAAGCUAGAUCUUCGCUCACUGUGGUGGCGGGAAAUUCUGGUACUAUCCAGCCCAGCGUUGUGCGUCUUCCUCUCGCACACGUCGGAUAUGUUGGCCGUUUUGUAACGCCAGUUGCAAUGUUGCUUCUUGCCCAAUCUGCAAUUCGCCCAUGUCAUUAAUGAGACUGUCCAUACCUGUGGGCUGGUGACGCCUAGCCCUGUCCCUUGGGCGUGGAGUGCGUUGUGGAGGUAGACCCAUGGAGUCUGAAGCAUCCACUGACAUCGCUUCAUCGCCCUCUUCAACGUCAUGGUGCGAGGAUCCUCCUUGCUCCAUCUGGGCGGCUUGCAUCAUCCUUCUUGUCACCCUGCGUGUCCCUGCAAUAUCUGGACUUGCCACUUGGGCUAGUCUAAUGGUAAGUGUGCGGACCCCAUACAACCGGCGCCUCGCACAUGGGAGAGGAAUUUUGGUUGUAUAGCCCGGAUAAAUCAUUUUAAGUUCACCAUUUGGAUUUCUUAUGAGCAUGUUAGCAUUGAUAAAGAAGUUCUCAUCUACCACUCCUCUAACAUAGCCAAUGUCUUCAAAAUAAUGUGAUUCAAGUAAUCCAAAAGUAUCGGCUAUUCGAGUAAUAAAGGAUGUGAAAUAGAUGGGCUUCCCAUACUCAAUAGAGUUAAGCCAAUAGUUCACUAGCAGUUUCACAGGGGAGACCUUGAUUUUACUAACCAUGGCAUAGAGAAUUUUAAGUUCAUCAUCAAUUAAAGUAUCAGUUCCCAUGCCAGGAUAUAGAGUGCACAUGAUCCAGAAGUGAAGAAAGCGCAAGGUUGGAUUAUGGAUUUCAAUGGGAGUAGGAUUUGAACAAUCAUUAGAGCCAGAAAUUGCUUUCCAGAAUCUAAAUUUAUCGAACAUUCUAGUGGCAUGAUCUAGAUCAAGUUCACAUUCAUGUUCACACCCUAAAGCAGUGUUUAGCAAACUCCAAUUUAAUUGAUGUUCUUGCUCACACAUGCGAAAAGAUAUUCCAUUAUUUGUGAGUUUUAGGGUGCAUAGAAAUUCCUUAGCAAGCAAUUCUUUUCCAAAUUCAGGCACUUGCCAAAAACUACUCCAACCAAUUGCUCUAAACACCUUAUCGAAUUCAACAUCCAUACCUGUGCGGGCCAAAAGGUCCGGAUCGAUGAUGCUAGUGUGUAGGAAGAGACCCUCUCGGAUGAUGUAGUACCUUUGCAACUCUUCUUGGCUUAACAUGAGGCCGCUCUCGGGCUCUCUCAUCCUUGAUGGAGGCUCGUAGGGUACCAUCCCAUGAUAACCUUCUUCUUCCUCCCUUCCAUGAGCAUGGUGAGAGCCUUGAGAAGAGCUCUCACCCUUUGCUUUUUUGAACUUGCCGAAGAUAUGCUUCUUCAUCCUCCUACACAAGUGAGGCAAACCAAGCUCCUACUACUACUACUAUGCAAGGGGAAUCUUUUUGGGUUUUUGUUUUGAUGACUAUUUCUAAACUAAACUUGAGAAAUGACUUGUAACAAAGAGAGAAGAGAAAGGAUUGUGAGCUCGAAAUGGUUCUUGUGGUUUUGGGUGUGGAGUUGAGCUCACAAUGCUGUGGUAUUUAUAGGGGGAGAAGGGCAAGUAGUGGACCCACAAUAUAGGGGUCGGCCGACCCCCCGUAGAAGCACUUUGAAUUUGAACUUAGCUUUAUACAGGGAACCAUUCUGCAUGCUUUCAAGAUUUUGCAGAGAUGGUCCAAAAUGGGGGUCGGCCGACCCCCAUCCUAGCCCCUCCUCCACUUUAAACAUUGUGUCAUUGAUUGUCCAGAAAAGUAAAGGCUAGGUGUGCACCAAAAGUUUUCAAAUUGUUUCUGAGAUUCCCUGUUUUAGUGCUUUGUGAAAGGUAAAAGAUGAAUGGCAAAAGUGGAGACAUGUCUAAAGUGAUUCCUAUGGACCAUGGGAGCACUCAAGCAUGCCUAGGUGACCACUUUGCAGAAUUUAAGCUAGUGGAGUGGUCCCAAAAGAAUCAAAGAUGAAAGGAGCAUCUUAUGACUAAAGUAAAGGAUCAAGGGACCACUCUUUUUCAAACUUUAGCUAGUGUUACAAGCAUAGGACUCCAUUGUGAUUCAAAUGGUGGCCAGCAGGAGGCAAGUGGGGCCAAUAUGGGGGUCGGCCGACCCCCACAUUGGAGCUCCCAGAGCAUCCAAGUGCUGGGUUGGAACCUCUAUGACUAGCAAGGUUGAAAUGUGGUGAAGUGGGCCCCAAGGUGGGGUCGGGCGACCCCCCUUUGGGAGCUCCAGCAGCUCAAAUUUUUAUGACAAGUUAUUCUCAAGAUUUUAUUUAUUAUGGCUAAACAUUUUGUCGAAAUAAGAUAUGCAAAAUUCAAAGUAAGAAUGCAAUUGAAAAGUGAAUAGUAGAAAUUGAAAUGCAGAAAAUAAAUAUGGGAUAACUACUGAUUUACCUUAUCAGCAAGGGCUCCAUGUUUUAGGUCCGUAGAGCAGGACCUCUCCAUCUUGUUCAUUCUUUGGGUGCAUCAGAUGGUCCCGGAGACGUGGACCUUGAUUGCACCUCUUUCUCCCGCCAUACUUGCUUGGUAUUGAUUUUUGGUUCAGCGGGUUCCUCUUCUUUCUUUUCGGCCCUUUUGGCCGACUUACCUCUCUUGUCCCUUCGGCGUCGGAUGUGGCGAGGCUUAGUCGGAGGUUCUUUGUCCUUCACCUGCAUGUUAGCUUUAUAACCAUUGAAUGGACAUUUCACCUUCCAUCCUGGGAAUUGGAGGUGAAUCUGGCCGGACCCCACAUAGAUGACUGCAUUGACCGUGUUGAGGAAUGGCCUUCCAAAGAUGAUCGAGACAUCAUUAUUGGAUCCCAUAUCCAAAAUGAUGAAGUCGGCAGGGACGUAGUCGUCUUGGACCUUUACCAGUAUGUCCCUUGCCAACCCCUCAGGGAACCUGAUCGUCUGAUCUGCCAUCUGCAAACGAACAAAUGUGGGGUGCAAAGGCCCCCUAGCAAAUUAUCAUAAGUUACCUUGGCCAUGAUGUUGACACCCGAUCCAAGGUCGCAGAAGGCGUUGUGGAAGAUUUGCGGUCCGAUCUCACAGGUGAUGGUCGGCAGGCCUGGGUCGUCUUUCUUGGUGAUGAAGGGCGAAUCCAGAAGAUAGCUCCAGUUGGAUUGUACCGGUGGCUUACCGAACCUCGUAGUAACUAGUUUAACUCCUUCAAUUGGGUCCUCAGGUUUCCCUAGGAUCUUACCUUGCUCGAAGGAUGGGACAGCUGCUGCUAAUUGAGCUAAUUGUGUUUCUAGCAUUUUGUUAAAGCUCAACUGAUUUUUCAUAGCAGAGUUAAAGCUAUCCAACUUUUCACUUAAGUUUUCAAGGAUCUUAUCAUUAGCCAUCAUUUUCUUGUUAAUGCUAUCAUUGAUUUUAGAUUGGCCUAAGACAAGAUCUCUAAGAGAAGGUUGGUUACCAAAAGAAUUAUUGAAAUUUUGAUUGUAACCAUUACCUUGAUUACCUUGGUAGAAGGGGCGCGAGUUCCAUUGCUGUUGUUGGGGCCGGUACCCAUUGUUGUUGUUGUUGAUGAAGCUCACUUCCUCCUUUGUUUCGGGACAAUUGUUUCCCGAAUGAUCAUCUCCUCCGCACACUUCGCACCAUGAAUCAGAUUCAAUGGCCCGUGCAGUGGCGUAAGGUUGAAUGGUCUCUUGCUUGGCACUUUCUUCCAUCUUCUUCAUUAAGAGGUCCAUCUUAGCAGAGAGCAUGUCCACCUCAUUCAAGGCAUGGACACCUCUUCUCUUGGGUUGGAGGCGUUCCUCAUUCCAUCCUUGGUUUAUAACCAUCUUUUCAAUGAGGUCCUUGGCAUCCUUGACAUUGUGUUGCAAGAAUGCUCCUCCAGCGGCAGCAUCAAGGUGACUACGGGCCAAACCGGUCAGGCCAUGGUAGAAACCUUGGAUUAGGAGCCACUCCUCUAUCCCAUGAUGAGGACAGGCGCGAAUGUACUCCUGCAGACAUUCCCAUGCUUCGGGAAUCGUCUCAUCCGCUUGCUGUUGGAAGCUGGAAAUCUUUCCACGAAGGGCGCUGGUCUUGCCCAUCGGAAAGAACUUCUUGAGAAAUGCAUUGGCGCACCUCUCCCACGUGGUCACUUCACCCUUGUUGGCGUAGAACCAUUGCUUCGCCUUCCCCAAUAACGAGAAUGGGAAGAGGCGAAGACGGAUGGCGUCUGCGGCGACAUUCUUGAUGGUGAAGGUGCCGCACACCUCCAAGAAGUGUUGGAGAUGGGCAUUGGCAUCCUCGUGUGGCUUUCCACAGAAGGGAUUGGCUUGCACCAUAUUGAUAAGCGCAGGCUUCAACUCAAAAGUUGCAUCCCCCAAGUUAAGCUGCGGACCCAUGGCGACAUUGUCAGCCGACGGUGCAGAGUACUCAGAGAUGGUCUUCUGGGCCAUAGCUUCUUUGAUAACCGGUGCAGAUACUCCUUCCUCUAACGGAUUCAGGUUCGAGAUGAACCUUUGAGGUGGAACUUGACGACGUCUAGUUCUCCUCAACAGUUGCUCAGGAUCUUCAACGAAGUUUGACGGCAAUUGGAAACCGCUCAUACACUGUCAGGCUUCACAAUAAAGGAAGACAAGACAAGUGAUGGGUUAUCCCUAUCACUACUUGAUAACUAGCAAACUCUGGAUUCUCUUUUUGUUAAAACUCUUAGACAGACGCUCUCCCCGGCAACGGUGCCAGAAAUGCUUGUUGACACUUCUUAACGCAACCACCGGAUAUCGGCGACGGCGCCAGAAGUGCCCUGGUAGGGUAACUCUAUUUACUAUUGGAUAAUUCCGCAAGCGCACAGAAUGUACCGCUGUAGCACUUCACCAAGUAGUAUUCCAAGGUAUCGUAAUUUAUAUUUUCCCAAGGGAAAGCGGCUAAGUGUGUUUAACAAAAAGGGGAAUGAGAUUCCUUGAGUUGUCUAGUAUCAACUAGUGAAUAAGGGUGGUAAAUAACGAAUAGGAAGGGUAGUGGUGAAUCCAAGGUCCUAUGCUAAAGGUAAAUGGUAGAGUUAGCUAGGUGGGAGGACAACGAGUGAGUAAAGGACUCCUAUGUAUCUAACUUGACUUCUGUGACUUACUUUAAUAGAUAAUUGCCUUAACUACGCUAGAGCCUUACUAACUGUGUGCGAGGGAUAGCCGAGCUGGUAAGACGCUUAGAAGGUUUUUCACCUAACCCCUUACCGAAAGCGACUAUUGGGCUUAUGGACGCCUUACCUUUUAAGAACUAGCCUGUACGUGAGGAGAACCUAAUGCCGCCCACGAUCUGUCACCUACUAGGGAGUGCGCUCCUACUUUCCGUUCAAGCCAGCGGUAAUCAAAGGUAAUCUUAAGUAUGAGCACCACGCUCACACUUAAUCCUACAACUCUAACUAGUUGCAGCUAGCUAGAGCUCCUAUACAAGAUAGGACGAUGAUGCACACACAGGAGUGGUUACAGGUCACUAACUUCACUAAGACAACUAUAUUACUAAAGUAAAUGCACAACAAGACUAAAAGACUUGCACUAAGUAAGAACUCAGUAAAGUAAAGUAAGAAUAAUAUAUUAAUAAAAGGAAAGUCUUACAAAAGUAGAAAGGUACAAGAGCUAUACCAGACUCUCCAGAAGACGACUCCGGAGACCCCGAGCUUCGCUCGACUCGACUCUAACUCCCACUCUAGACUAACUACUACUCUACUUGUAUGCUUGGAACUUGUAAUGCACUUGGCCUUGGAAUUGCACACUUGAAAUGAAGGAUGGAGGCUGCCUUUUAUAGAGGGAGAUGGAGUAGGGGUUACUCCAUC
rnacentral:lncRNA from 1 species